rnacentral:rRNA from 1 species
GACAGAGGGUGCAAACGUUGUUCGGAAUUACUGGGCGUAAAGCGCGUGUAGGCGGCUAUGCAAGUCGGAUGUGAAAGCCCUCGGCUCAACCGGGGAAGUGCACCCGAAACUGCAAAGCUAGAGUCUCGGAGAGGAUCGUGGAAUUCUCGGUGUAGAGGUGAAAUUCGUAGAUAUCGAGAGGAACACCGGUGGCGAAGGCGGCGAUCUGGACGGUGACUGACGCUGAGACGCGAAAGCGUGGGGAGCGAACAGG